rnacentral:rRNA from 1 species
GACGUAGGGGGCAAGCGUUGUUCGGAAUUAUUGGGUGUAAAGCGCUCGUAGGCGGGACAGGAAGUUCGUGUUGAAAGACCUCGGCUCAACUGAGGGACCGGCUCGAAUACUCUUGUUCUUGAGGCAAUCAGAGGGUGAUGGAAUUCCCGGUGUGGCGGUGAAAUGCGUAGAUAUCGGGAGGAACACCAGUGGCGAAGGCGAUCACCUGGGGUUGUUCUGACGCUGAGGAGCGAAAGCUAGGGGAGCAAACGGG